UCUGACCCUAGACAGGGGACAUGCAAGAGGAGGAAGGCAGCGAUGUCCAACCUUCUACUUCUCUCAGGCAGUGAGCCGGCCGGGGCCCCUCCCGACGGUCUCCCGCAGGCCUACAGUCGACCGGGUCGGUCCGCGGGCGUGGUUGGCUCUGGCCCUGGCGGCGGCCGGGCCUCCCAGAUCUCCGGCCCCUCCCGCCGGCCAGGCCCCCGGGCCGCCGCCCCGACACCGAUGGAACGCGGAGGAGGAAGGGGGAGCCAGGCGACUGACCGGCGACAUGAGCCGCCUCACCCUCGGCUCGGCCGACCCGCGCCCCCCGCUCCCUCUGGGGCCGUCUGGAGCUCCCCGCCCCUUACUCACCCCCCCGGUCCGGCGCCUCCUCCACCUCCUCCACCUCCUCCACCUCCUCCUCCUCCUCCUCCCUCCUCUCGGCCGUGGCUCCUGCUCCGGCUCUGCGCGGCGACAGCAGCGGGAGCGGCGGCGGCAGGGGCCUCGGGAGCGGCGGCGGCGCCUCCUCCAGAACGCGCACGCACGCACCACGCAGGCCCCGCCCCCUGGUUCUGCCCCGCCCCUCCAAGUUGGCGAUGGCUGGGCUUCGGCCCCGCCUUCCCCACGGCGUUCCGGAGUCCGCUUAAAGGAGCCGCGCACACUGGAGCCGGGAAAGCCUGGAGCUACCGGGAAGGGGCGGGGAGUUUUAGCUUUGCGUAGGGCGGGAUGGGAGGUGGGUAAGACCGGAAAAAAGAUGAGGAAGGGUCCAAAGAUUCAAGAAGAGAAUUUGGAGGGAACUCAAUCAUUCGACAAGCCCUAAUUGAGCACCUGUUAGGUUCCAGGCGCUGUUCUAACUAAGCGCAGAGGUUUAAAGUCAUAGACAGGCAAAGACCCUCUUGCAGCUUGCAUGCUGGUGGAGUGAGAGAGGGGAGACAGACAACAAACAAGUGACAAAAAUUGCAGGUAGUGAUAAGUGGUGUGGAGAAAAAUAAAGCAGAGGAUAGGGUGACUUUACACCUGGUGAGAUACUGCCUCUCAAAGAAGACCUUUGAGCGCAUACACACGGGAUGAAGGAAUAAGUCUUGCAAACACGCGGGCCUGGAGGAGGAAUAGCCUUUCCAAGCUGAGAGAAAAUCAGCCAUAAACCCAGAGGUGGGGAUACGCCUGCCAUGUUGCAGAAACAGUGAAAGGCCGGCAUGGCUGAGCAGCGUCAGCCAGCCCGAGAGCAGUACCAGCUAGGCUUGGCCAGAUCCAGUGAAGCCUGUGGGCCAUUAUAACAGGAACGGGAAACCAUGAGAGAAGGGUGAGCCGAGGAAUGACCGCAUCUGAUUCAUGUUGUUAAAAGUUAGUCUUGCUGAUGUGUGUAAAAUACACAAUGGAGAAGCACAGAUGUCCUUGGGAUACCAGUAAGGUAGCUUGGACUAACUAGCCUGGCAGCCACGGACAGGAUGAGAAGAAGGCUAUUUUAUUUUAUUUUAUUUUAUUUAGAUACAUUUUGAUUGGAAUGGAUUUGGAUUUGGGGCAUAGUGUGUGAAAGAACAAAAAGAAAUCAAGAGUUGAUUCUUAGGUUCGGGCCUGAUGACUGAGUUAAUGGCGGUGCCACUUAAUGAAAUGGAGGAGCAGAUUUGGGGAUGGGGAAAUCAAGAGUCUUUUCUUACACAUGUUAUGUUUAAGGUGUCUGUUAUACAUCCAAAUGGAGAUAUUGAAUAAACAAUCGAUAUAUGAGUCUAGAGAGAUACAUUUGGGAUUCAUUAGCAAAUAGAUACUUUUUAAGUCUUAAGUCUAGUUAGGAUCACAUGGGGAGGGGAGAUAGCUGAAGGAAAGGACCAAGAGGCACUCCAACACUUGAAGGUUAAGUAGAAAAGGAGGCGCUACCAGUCAGGGCAGGAGAAACACCAAGAGAAGGUGAAGCGUUGGAAAACAAGAUAAUUGUUUCAGGAAGGAGAGAGUGAAGAGUCUUAUCAGAUACUGCUGAAAUUAGUAAGAUAAGGACUGAGAAUUUGAACACUGGAUGUGGCCUGAUGAAGUUGCUGAUGACCUUGAUGAAAACAGUUUCAGUGGAGUCAUAGGGGAGAAAGUCUGAUUAGGGUAUGUUAAUAGGAUGGGAGGUGAGGAAGAGAAAGUGUUCUAAACAGCUCUUGAGAGGCUUUGCUUUGAAGGAGAAAAGGGCAGUAGCCAGAGAGGUACUUGAGAUCAAGGGAGGAUAUUUUAAGAUGAGAAAUGCUUUUUCUCAUUUUAGUAUGCUGGAAUGAUUUUUUUUUUUUUGAGGCGGAGUCUUGCUCUGUUGCUAGGCUGGAGUGCAGUGGUGUGAUCUCCGCUCACUGCAACCUCCAACUCCCUGGUUCGAGCGAUUCUCCUGUCUCAGCCUCCAAAGCAGCUGGGAUUACAGUCAUGUGCCACCACACCUGGCUAAUUUUGUGUUUUUAUUAGAGACGGGGUUUCUCCACGUUGGCCAGGCUGGUCUCGAAUUCCCAACCUCAGGUGAUCCACCCGCCUCGGCCUCCCAAAGUGUUGGGAUUACAGGUGUGAGCCACUGCGCCCAGCUGGAAUGAUUCUUUAGAGAGGUAAAAUUGGGCCAGGCGUGGUGGCUCACACCUGUAAUCCCAGCACUUUGGGAGGCCAAGGCGGGUGGAUCACGAGGUCAGGAGAUCGAGACCAUCCUGGCUAACACGGUGAAACCCCAUCUCUACUAAAAA